rnacentral:rRNA from 1 species
UACGUAGGGGGCUAGCGUUGUCCGGAAUCAUUGGGCGUAAGAGCGUGUAGGCGGCCCGGUAAGUCCGCUUGUAAAAGUCAAAGGCUCAACCUUUGAAUGUCAGUGGAUACUGCCGGGCUAGAGUCCGGAAGAGGCGAGUGGAACUCCUGGUGUAGCGGUGGAAUGCGCAGAUAUCAGGAAGAACACCAACGGCGAAGGCAGCUCGCUGGGACGGUACUGACGCUGAGACGCGAAAGCGUGGGGAGCGAAACAGG